GACGAACGCUGGCGGCGUGCCUAAUACAUGCAAGUCGAGCGAAGCGGCGGAUGGGUGAGUAACGCGUGGGUAACCUGCCCUUAAGUCUGGAAUACCAUUUGGAAACAGAUGCUAAUGCCGGAUCCUAAAGGAUGGACCUGCGAUGCAUUAGCUAGUUGGUAAGGUAACGGCUUACCAAGGCGAUGAUGCAUAGCCGGGUUGAGAGGUUGACCGGCCACAUUGGAACUGAGACACGGCCCAAACUCCUACGGGAGGCAGCAGUAGGGAAUCUUCCACAAUGGACGAAAGUCUGAUGGAGCAACGCCGCGUGAGUGAAGAAGGUUUUCGGAUCGUAAAGUUCUGUCGUUGGUGAAGCGGUAAUCAACCAGAAAGUCACGGCUAACUACGUGCCAGCAGCCGCGGUAAUUC
rnacentral:rRNA from 1 species